rnacentral:rRNA from 1 species
UACGUAGGGGGCAAGCGUUGUCCGGAUUUAUUGGGCGUAAAGAGCGUGUAGGCGGCCAGCCAGGUCCGUUGUGAAAACUCGAGGCUCAACCUCGAGACGUCGAUGGAAACCGUCUGGCUAGAGUCCGGAAGAGGAGUGUGGAAUUCCUGGUGUAGCGGUGAAAUGCGCAGAUAUCAGGAAGAACACCUAUGGCGAAGGCAGCACUCUGGGACGGUACUGACGCUGAGACGCGAAAGCGUGGGGAGCGAACAGG